AGAGCAGUGAAAAAAUGAUUCAGGCCCCUUGUAGCCGUCAUCAUGCUCUAAGUGAAAACGACAGUCUCCUUUAAGAGACGAUAAACAAACCUCACAUCAGUAUGCAGUAGCAGCAGCAGCAGUUAACGUGGUGCACAAUCAUCGAGGCUUUCUCCUGGAUGAAGAAGAAAGACGGCAUCGUGUACGGGCUGAUGAAAACUUGAAUCGCCGUACACUGUCACCAGAUCAUUUGGAGGAGAGAUGAUAAAUGCCCUCAAGUAAGCCCUGGGAUGCUGUAUGUAAAUCUGAGAACUGCUCCAUUAGCAAAACUCUUCAAGAAUUGCAGUCAUUGCAUCUACUCUGUUCUCAUAAGGGAAAGAACCUCAGAGAACUUUAACUCCAUAGGAGAGGCAUGGCUGACAGAUGACUCCCCAACAUCUGUGUUAUGUACGCAGCACAGCUGAGGAGCCCCGGCUCACUGUCAGAACAUCACGAAGAUGACCUGCACAUUUAAGAAGCUGAUGCCUUCUUCUUAGCCCUGCCCUCCCCGCCCCAAAUGUAGAAAUAUCUAUAAUGCAAAUGGUGUGGUUUUAAACAAAAUACAAAAAUGG